rnacentral:rRNA from 1 species
GAACGAUGAAGGCAGGAGCUUGCUUUUGCUGGAUUAGUGGCGAACGGGUGAGUAACACGUGAGUAACCUGCCCUUGACUCUGGGAUAAGCGUUGGAAACGACGUCUAAUACCGGAUACGAGCUAGGACCGCAUGGUCACUAGCUGGAAAGAAUUUUGGUCAAGGAUGGACUCGCGGCCUAUCAGCUAGUUGGUGAGGUAACGGCCCACCAAGGCGACGACGGGUAGCCGGCCUGAGAGGGUGACCGGCCACACUGGGACUGAGACACGGCCCAGACUCCUACGGGAGGCAGCAGUGGGGAAUAUUGCACAAUGGGCGAAAGCCUGAUGCAGCAACGCCGCGUGAGGGACGACGGCCUUCGGGUUGUAAACCUCUUUUAGCAGGGAAGAAGCGAAAGUGACGGUACCUGCAGAAAAAGCACCGGCUAACUACGUGCCAGCAGCCGCGGUAAUACGUAGGGUGCAAGCGUUGUCCGGAAUUAUUGGGCGUAAAGAGCUCGUAGGCGGUUUGUCGCGUCUGCUGUGAAAAUCCGAGGCUCAACCUCGGACCUGCAGUGGGUACGGGCAAACUAGAGUGCGGUAGGGGAGAUUGGAAUUCCUGGUGUAGCGGUGGAAUGCGCAGAUAUCAGGAGGAACAC